GCAGAAUUGAGGUCUGUCGCUGCGUGAUAACCUUGUCUGGAAUCACGGAGAGGAAAGUCCGGGCAACACAGAGCACCGCACAUCCUAACAGGAAGCCGGCGGCGACGUCGGGGCAAGUGUGACAGAAAAGAACCGCCUCCUGAAUAGAAAGUAUUUCUAAGGAGGUAAGGGUGAAAAGGUGGAGUAAGAGCCCACCGGUUUCAGUGGCGACACUGAAAGCCGCACAUCCUGCGGGUUGCAAGGCCAAAUAUACCGGCAAUAAAGGACUGCUCGUCCACUGCCGGGGGGUAGGCUGCUUGAGUCGUCGGGAGACUGACGGAGUAGAUAAAUGACAGACUCCGGUUUCGUGCCGGAACAUAACCCGGCUUAUAUCUUUUCUGCUUUA
rnacentral:RNase_P_RNA from 1 species